AGAGGCUCACAGUGCAUAGCAUCGCAGUCCACGGACAGAGAGAACCCGCACGACACGCCGAACUGCAGCCGGACCGAGUCAGAAAUCGCGUUCAUCAGUUAAAACUUUUCCAUUCAAUGGAUUUUAUCCGAAUGAUCCUGUGCGCUUUGGAAAAUGGACGUGAAAAGAAAAGCUGGGGCGUUAUGGCGACACACCAUCCCACGGAAAAGGAACCACUUGGAUCUCAAGAACCAGGGCCCAUAUGCAUGAGAAUUGAGUUGGAUUUCCGACAAAGAAGUAACACUAGUAAUAAUAAUAAAAAGAAUCAGGUCACAAUAAUAGGCGCUGAGACAAAGGCAACAAGCUAUGCUACCGAGUUGGUCGACAUUUUGGGAAAAUUGUUUUUUUGCAGUACAGUGAUGUCUGCUGUCUUCUCUGGGACUAAUUUACAUGUACUGUGUAUGUUUGUGGUAUGACAUAUCAAGAUGCAUUCAAAUCAUUUGGAGGCUCGAGCUGAAAAAAUUUGAAAACCGCACAAAAAAAUCCAUCAAACUGCUGUGUAAAUUCAAUAUUCUGUAAAUUCCCGAUAAAUACAAGAAAAUGUUCUUCUUCGA